rnacentral:rRNA from 1 species
CCUACGGGAGGCAGCAGUAAGGAAUAUUGGACAAUGGGCGAAAGCCUGAUCCAGCCAUGCCGCGUGAAGGAUUAAGGUCCUCUGGAUUGUAAACUUCUUUUAUGUGGGACGAAAAAAGGGCAUUCUUGCUCACUUGACGGUACCAUUUGAAUAAGCACCGGCUAACUCCGUGCCAGCAGCCGCGGUAAUACGGAGGGUGCAAGCGUUAUCCGGAUUCACUGGGUUUAAAGGGUGCGUAGGCGGGUAGGUAAGUCAGUGGUGAAAUCUCGAAGCUUAACUUCGAAACUGCCAUUGAUACUAUCUAUCUUGAAUAUUGUGGAGGUUUGCGGAAUAUGUCAUGUAGCGGUGAAAUGCUUAGAUAUGACAUAGAACACCGAUUGCGAAGGCAGCAGGCUACACAUAUAUUGACGCUGAGGCACGAAAGCGUGGGGAUCAAACAGGAUUAGAUACCCUGGUAGUCCACGCCCUAAACGAUGAUUACUCGACAUACGCGAUACACUGUGUGUGUCUGAGCGAAAGCAUUAAGUAAUCCACCUGGGAAGUACGUCCGCAGGAUGAAACUCAAAGGAAAUUGACGG